rnacentral:lncRNA from 1 species
CUGUAUUAACUUCACAAGAUUAUCAUUUCAUUAAUUAUGUGGUCAAGAUAAUGCUGGUACAUGUUUUCAGGAAAUUUUGUCAUGUUGGUUCUACCUUUGUUCUUCUUUCUUGUUAUUGAAAGAUCAAAGAAGCAUAGUUUUGAUGUAUGACAAAAGACAUGGAGCAUUAUGUGAACAUUUUACUGUAAAUGCAAUAUAAAAUUUCCAGAAGGGUGACCCAUUUACACGGUGUAUACAAAUCAGAUAAUGUGACAAAACACACCUAUGUCUCUCCUAACCAACCAACAUUUUUACAAAAAGCUCUAGAAAUUGCUAAGAGAACCAUGGCCUUAUGGCCACCGGAAAACCUCAUCUGCCACAAACUUGCUCUACACCUUUAUUAACUUCCCAUAACAAUUAAGCAAGUCCCAUUUCCAUAAACCAUGUACACAUGAUUAACAUGAAAUUAUGACUCAACAUUAUAACACUUGGUUUGGCAGACUAACUUUAAGCUUCCUGAUCACACAUUUAAUAAGAAAUAGUAAAAGACUAAUUACAGGCACAAGUUAAAACCAAUCUUCCAUCACAACAACACAUAUCCAAUAGAAUGUUAAGAGUUCCUGAACAAAAAUUCUUCCACUAAUCUUUGAAAUCGACGAUAGCUUUGUCAAAUGGUGGGGUUUUAACACCAAUGUCAAGGAAGAUGUCUGCAGCUGCAUUCCGACCACUUUGAGUUUGCACAACAACACUGGGAAGUGGAGCAUAUACAGAUGGUUGUUCAGCACACUCAUUAACUGUUUAAUUCAACAACAGUUAGCUAACACCAUAUAUAACAACACAAUAAGGACAACAAUAUCUGAAAAACUAAACUACAUCCGGCAACAGCAGCCUCAUAAUCUCAUAAUGAAAUGUUAAAAAAAUACUUAUAGAGAUUAUAAAAAAAUACUUAUAGAGAUCAUACAUAUCUCAACAAGCCAAAAAUUAUAAAGAUACGAAAUUAAAAGAUUAAAUUAAAAAUCUUAUGAAAUGAAAACAAAAUACCAAUAUACAUUUGGACCAAAACAAAUUUCAAGUACCUAAUAACAAACAAAUAAGUAGAUCAAACUAUAUACUCCAUCAUGGUCCACGCAUAAUGAACCCAACCCACAAUCAAAUGUUACUAAAACUAGAAAACAUUAGGUUGAACUAUUUACAUUGUACAAACCCAUACCAAAUUAAACUGACCAAUCCCCUUACCCUGCUCCUAUGAACAAUAAAUUAAAGUAAUUUUAGGAGACACCCAUCAGGGAAAAAACACAGAUUAACCUUAUCAUUCAAAUAUCCAACACAAUAAACAAAGAGAAUCAAAUUAACAAGCACAUAUAACAAUAGUAAGGAUCAUUUUUCAAAAUAAUGAAGAUAAGAAAGCCCAGUUGAUCCAUUAAUAUAAAGCCAACAUGUAUGCAUAUACAUGUAUACAGAGCAAGAGAAAACUAACCCCUGAAGCACUGGUAAGCAUAAUCACAAUCUCUGGAUUUAUCUUCAAUUUAAGACCCUUCAAGACAGAAAAGACUAAUCUUUAACUACAUAAGAAAAAAAAAAGAGAAAAUAAAAGAUUAAUAAAUGUUCCACAACCAUAAAACCUAACACGAAAUGUGACCAAACAGCUAGGUAACCCCAAAAAUCACCACCAGAAAACGCAUAGUUCACCACCAAAAUGACAUAAAAAAGUAAAAAGCAGCAGAAAUGAGUAGUAAAUGUGAAAGACAAGUCCACCCUCUUCAGGAUAGACACUCUAACGGUAAGAGCUGGGGCAUUCUCUGGCAAAGUGCCCUUCUUUCCCGUUUGCCUAAAUCGCGAUUCUCAGUUUGCAGAACCUAGGGCUUAUUAUUUGGAGAGAGAGGAGCUCAGUUUGCUACAAUCGCGAUUCUCAGUUUGCCUAAAUCGCGAAUUUGGGGAGAAGAGCUCGACUAGGGCUUAUUAUUUGGAGAGAGAGGAGAGAAGCACGACUCAGAUUUGGGUUUUUUUUUAAAAAGACGGAAAGGUUUUAAAUAAUUAUGUUACUUAAGAAAAUUAUGCUAUUUAAAAUUUAUGCUUUUG